rnacentral:rRNA from 1 species
UGUAAGCGUAUACCAAAGUUGUUGCAGUUAAAACGCUCGUAGUCGGAAUUUGGCAGUUCCGGAAGUGUGCACGUCGUGUGCGCACUUUGCGGGGACUGCUUUUGUGGUCUUGCGUAGGAUGAGGCACUUUCAUUAGUGAACGUCCUCACGCAACCACUCUUUACUGUGAGAAAAUCAGAGUGCUCAAAGCAGGCAUUUGCCGUGAAUGUAUUAGCAUGGAAUAAUAGAAUAGGACUAGGUUCUAUUUUGUUGGUUUGUUGGGACUGAGUAAUGAUUAAGAGGGACAGUUGGGGGCAUUUGUAUUCCGGCGCUAGAGGUGAAAUUCUUAGAUUGCCGGAAGACAAACUGCUGCGAAAGCGUCUGCCAAGGAUGUUUUCAUUGA